rnacentral:rRNA from 1 species
GACGAACGCUGGCGGCGUGCUUAACACAUGCAAGUCGAACGGAAAGGCCCUGCUUUUGUGGGGUGCUCGAGUGGCGAACGGGUGAGUAACACGUGAGUAACCUGCCCUUGACUUUGGGAUAACUUCAGGAAACUGGGGCUAAUACCGGAUAGGAGCUCCUGCUGCAUGGUGGGGGUUGGAAAGUUUCGGCGGUUGGGGAUGGACUCGCGGCUUAUCAGCUUGUUGGGGGGGUAGUUGAUUACCAAGGCUUUGACGGGUAGCCGGCCUGAGAGGGUGACCGGCCACAUUGGGACUGAGAUACGGACCAGACUCCUACGGGAGGCAGCAGUGGGGAAUAUUGCACAAUGGGCGGACGCCUGAUGCAGCAACGCCGCGUGCGGGAUGACGGCCUUCGGGGUGUAAACCGCUUUCGCCUGUGACGAAGCGUGAGUGACGGUAAUGGGUAAAGAAGCACCGGCUAACUACGUG